rnacentral:snRNA from 1 species
GUGCUCACUUAGGCAGCACAUAUACUAAAAUUGGAACAAUACAGAGAAGAUUAUCACGGCCCCUGCUCAAGGAUGACACACAAAUUCGUGAAGCGUUCCAUAUUUUU